rnacentral:lncRNA from 1 species
CAAGUAGGAUAGUGUGACACAUUCACACACAUUAUGAGUGACAGUGAUAACAUAAUACAGCACAUUGCUGAUUCAUAAAUUUGUCACUUUCAUAGUAACUCCUAUUAAUGAGCUUCCAUUGCUUGAACAAUGAAUAUGGUUUCCUGGAAUACCUGUAUGCAUACACAACAUAAAAUGAGGAUGGAUGUAUGCACAUAUGUUCACACAAAACCGUUACCUUGUGUUGCAAGAUAUGCAAAACAUAUACUCUUCAAUAAAUUUUGACAGACGUACGAGAGAGUAUGCUAGGAAUGUACCGCCACUUAGGCAUUACUUCCUUCUGGCAAUGUAAUCAAUCUUGU